UGGGGGAUAUUGCACAAUGGGCGAAAGCCUGAUGCAGCGACGCCGCGUGGGGGAUGAAGGCCUUCGGGUUGUAAACUUCUUUUGCUCUGAACAAGGCAUGCCUUUGGGGUGUGUUGAGUGUAGGGGUUGAUUAGCGCCGGCUAACUACGUGCCAGCAGCCGCGGUAAUACGUAGGGCGCGAGCGUUGUCCGGAAUUAUUGGGCGUAAAGGGCUUGUAGGUGGCUGGUUGCGUCUGUCGUGAAAGCUCAUGGCUUAACUGUGGGUUUGCGGUGGGGACGGGCUGGCUUGAGUGCAGUAGGGGAGGCUGGAAUUCCUGGUGUAGCGGUGGAAUGCGCAGAUAUCAGGAGGAAUACCGGUGGCGAAGGCGGGUCUCUGGGCUGUUACUGACGCUGAGGAGCGAAAGCGUGGGGAGCGAACAGG
rnacentral:rRNA from 1 species